AACGAACGCUGGCGGCAUGCCUAACACAUGCAAGUCGAACGAAGUCUUCGGACUUAGUGGCGCACGGGUGCGUAACGCGUGGGAAUCUGCCCUUGGGUGCGGAAUAACUUCUCGAAAGGGAUGCUAAUACCGCAUAAUGUCGUAAGACCAAAGAUUUAUCGCCCAAGGAUGAGCCCGCGUAAGAUUAGCUAGUUGGUGGGGUAAAAGCCUACCAAGGCGACGAUCUUUAGCUGGUCUGAGAGGAUGAUCAGCCACACUGGACUGAGACACGGCCCAGACUCCUACGGAGGCAACAGUGGGGAAGUAUUGGACAAUGGGCGAAAGCCUGAUCCAGC
rnacentral:rRNA from 1 species